CCUUAGCUCAGUUGGUAGAGCGGCUGACUUUUAAUCAGUAGGUCGCAGGUUCGAAUCCUGCAGG
rnacentral:tRNA from 1 species